CUACCAUAGUCCUGACAUUCCUUCAUUCUACCAUAGAGCGUCCUGACAUUCCUUCAUUCUACCAUAGAGCGUCCUGACAUUCCUCAUUCUACCAUAGAGCGUCCUGACAUUCCUUCAUUCACCUAGAGAGUCCUGACAUUCCUUCAUUCUACCAUAGAGAGUCCUGACAUUCCUUCAUUCUACCAUAGAGAGUCCUGACAUUCCUUCAUUCUACCAUAGUCCUGACAUUCCUUCAUUCUACCAUAGAGCGUCCUGACAUUCUUCAUUCUACCAUAGAGCGUCCUGACAUUCCUUCAUCUACCAUAGAGCGUCCUGACAUUCCUUCAUUCUACCAUAGAGCGUCCUGACAUUCCUUCAUUCUACCAUAAGAAGUCCUGACAUUCCUUCUUCUACCAUAGAGCGUCCUGACAUUCCUUCAUUCUAAAACCAUAGAGCGUCCUGACAUUCCUUCAUUCUAUUCUAACCAUAGAGAGUCCUGACAUUCCUUCAUUCUAACCAUAGAGAGUCCUGACAUUCCUUCAUUCUACCAUAGAGCGUCCUGACAUUCCUUCAUUCUACCAUAGAGCGUCCUGACAUUCCUUCAUUCUAAAAGGGGCCUUGUGUCUUUGUCUUCAUCGGUGUCUUUUCUUUUAGCCUGUAAUUCUGUCACAUCAGAAAUCCAAGGUACGUUGUCAAUUCUAGCUCUUGAAAUGGGUUACUUAUCCGUGGAAUGUAAGUGUUAAUGUUGCCAAUAUGCCAAAAUGUUUUUCCCAAUAACUUCCUUUGUAGGGUGUUAUUGAUCUUCCCCAUUUCAUAACAGUGCUGUUUUAAUAAUGAUUAGUAUGAGUUUUAAUGUGAAUCUCCAAGUACAAGUUUCAGACUUGUUAAUAUUGCCAGAAAGAUGAUUGGAACAUUUCCACUUCUGGUCCUGUGGUCCACUGUGGGUUUGCCAUAGGUCGAAACGCAAAACCCACCAA
rnacentral:lncRNA from 1 species